rnacentral:rRNA from 1 species
UGAGAUACGGCCCCAGAUUCCUACGGGGAGGCAGCAGUGGGGAAUAUUGCACAAUGGGCGCAAGCCUGAUGCAGCGACGCCGCGUGAGGGAUGACGGCCUUCGGGUUGUAAACCUCUUUCAGUAGGGACGAAGCGAAAGUGACGGUACCUACAGAAGAAGGACCGGCCAACUACGUGCCAGCAGCCGCGGUAAUACGUAGGGUCCGAGCGUUGUCCGGAAUUACUGGGCGUAAAGAGCUCGUAGGUGGUUUGUCGCGUUGUUCGUGAAAACUCACAGCUUAACUGUGGGCGUGCGGGCGAUACGGGCAGACUAGAGUACUGCAGGGGAGACUGGAAUUCCUGGUGUAGCGGUGGAAUGCGCAGAUAUCAGGAGGAACACCGGUGGCGAAGGCGGGUCUCUGGGCAGUAACUGACGCUGAGGAGCGAAAGCGUGGGUAGCGAACAGGAUUAGAUACCCUGGUAGUCCACGCCGUAAACGGU